rnacentral:tRNA from 1 species
UAUAUAGCAGUGUUAGGGCACGAAGAAUUUUGAUUUCUUAAGAGGGGCUCAUUAUCCCCCUAA